rnacentral:rRNA from 1 species
GACGUAGGGCGCGAGCGUUGUCCGGAUUUAUUGGGCGUAAAGAGCUCGUAGGCGGCUUGUCGCGUCGUCCGUGAAAACUUGGGGCUCAACCCCAAGCUUGCGGUCGAUACGGGCAGGCUAGAGUUCGGUAGGGGAGACUGGAAUUCCCGGUGUAGCGGUGAAAUGUGUAGAGAUCGGGAGGAACACCGGUGGCGAAGGCGGUCUUCUGGACGGUGACUGACGCUGAGGCGCGAAAGCGUGGGGAGCAAACGGG